CUCAGUUUAGCAGUAUUAUAGCUAUAAUGUAACAUGCCAACACUGGCGAGCAGUACAUUAUUGUCUCUCUGUGGCCUCUAGCUCAUCGAGGCGAGUAAUCAGCUGAUUUGGCUGUAAAUGUAAUGUAUACAUAUGCGCGUAUCGCGCAUAUCUCGGGCCCGCAGUAAGUGGCACUUACGCUGUUGCGGAUUCCUUGCCAUUGUAAGCUGCGACGUAGUAGCUUGACAACUCACAGGUGAGGAUAUCAUAGAUACGAUUUGUGGUUUGAAUUAGUCAGAUAUAGUCAUAUAGAGAAGUUUGAAAGUGUGUAUAUUCAUUAUUGAAUUGUACAAUAAUAUUACUAAAGGUUUGGAGCACAACCUGGUGUAUAUACUGUAUACAAACUUACAAGGAUCUGUAGUGCUGUACCAGUGGCAACGAGGCUAACAUGCAUCGGCAUGUUUUAGACCCUGGAUUUUGUUACCACGGUCCACAAUUGGCAUGUCUAGGCCGAGUUUAGGCGCUAAUAACAAACCUUAUGAAGCCGGGAAACACGGUAUUUUUUACUAAGUAGAAUCACCGUGCAAUAUUGCAAUGUACAGACAUUUUCUUGACUCUCCCGGUGAGUGCAAUUCAGGCGAGGGAGAUGUCCCUGUAUUAUUGCCAUGUUGGCGCUUUUGGCAUGAAAUGAUAGUGUGUAUCAUCUGCAUAACAUUUGCUAUUUACCUCGAUUUUAAGGUUUACAUAUAUAGUCAUUUAACUUGCGAUGGUAACAUAAAUGUUUUCCCCAUUCAACAGCUCAGUGCGCAGCUUGUAUAAUAUCGACAUUCUGUCGAUUCGCCGUUCUAAUUUUAUAUGUUUCCCAGUUCAACCGUUUAAUUUUAUGACCGGGUGCGGCAUUUUAGUAAUGCAUCAUGUGUAUUUUUAGUAUUAGUAGCUGCUGUAUUUCAAGCUGUACAUUGUCCGCCGGGUCGGCGUUAUAAAUACCGUUUUUGUGACUAAGUUAGUCUACGGCUUGAGUCUUCCGCAAGGUUGAUCAUUGGCAUUGCCAAAUUGUGCAUUAUCCGCCGAGCCGGCGUUUUGACAAUGCAAUAUGCCGUUUUGGCGACUAAGUUAGUCUACGGCUUGAUUCUUCCGCAAGGUUGACCAUUGCCCAUUGGAUUGCCAUUGCCAAAUUGUGCAUUAUCCGCCGAGUCGGCGUUUUGAUAAAGCAAUAUGCCGUUUUGGCGACUAAGUUAGUCUACGGCUUGAUCUCAUAUUGUACUCAUACGAAGAGACAAUCUAGCAAUUUUCGCAACGUUGGCCAUUGCAGAGUUUCAUGUAUUAAGCUCCGUCGUCGCCUGCCACUAAUCCACUGUCAUUGUCAUGUUGACGUGUUUUUAAUAUAAACUGCCGGGCGGCAAGAUGUCGAUAUUCAGGUCUGACUGGACGGUAUUUUUUCAUCCUCUUGUACCAAAUGUUGCCUCUGCUGUCCUUGGCUUUACAUACACGCCGAGUCGACGUGUUUAUAAUACAAUUGCCGGUUCGGCAAGAUCUCGUGUUCAGGUCUGAUUUCGGUGUUUUUCGACCUUUAUUAAUCCUUUAUAUAUUUUGCCGCUUCGGCGAGAUCUUUCAGUGUGACAGAUAGCCCUUGGUCCAGGCAUUGUUGAAGAAGAUAGGGUUGAUUAUUUCCCUGUCAUUGAGGCUGUGCGAAGUCCCGCCAUAUUCCUGUACUUGACGGUUGUGUAUAUUAUUAAACGCCGUGCACAAGGUC